rnacentral:rRNA from 1 species
UACGUAGGGUGCGAGCGUUAAUCGGAAUUACUGGGCGUAAAGUGUGCGCAGGCGGCAGAGCAAGUCGAGUGUGAAAGCCCCGGGCUUAACCUGGGAACUGCAUUGGUGACUGCAUUGCUGGAGUAUGGCAGAGGGGGGUGGAAUUCCACGUGUAGCAGUGAAAUGCGUAGAGAUGUGGAGGAACACCGAUGGCGAAGGCAGCCCCCUGGGCCAAUACUGACGCUCAUGCACGAAAGCGUGGGGAGCAAACAGG